ensembl:snoRNA
UGCACUUGUUUUAUGUUUUUGUUUAACUUCUGGACAAAUACUUAUAGACAGGUGCAAAAAAUAAAUCCUCUUUUGCAACCCAGAACUCACUGUUUAGUAGGAGUUUUGAUACAUAUAAGAAGGAAUAAU